AGCGGCGGACGGGUGAGUAACACGUGGGUAACCUGCCCAUAAGACUGGGAUAACUCCGGGAAACCGGGGCUAAUACCGGAUAACAUUUUGAACUGCAUGGUUCGAAAUUGAAAGGCGGCUUCGGCUGUCACUUAUGGAUGGACCCGCGUCGCAUUAGCUAGUUGGUGAGGUAACGGCUCACCAAGGCAACGAUGCGUAGCCGACCUGAGAGGGUGAUCGGCCACACUGGGACUGAGACA
rnacentral:rRNA from 1 species